rnacentral:lncRNA from 1 species
UCUGGGACUCUCUCUCAUCAAGGAUUCUUUUCUAUUUUAAUAAGUUUUUUCCUUAUCUAGAAGAAAAUCAAAUCUUAUCAGAUUGGGGCAUUGGAAUUAGUUUUUUGUGCGACAAAAUUAAAAGGAGCGUGAAGGCUUAUGUGUGGUACUUCUUCCAAGUAUUUUUUCCUAGCUGCAAGACAUCUAUCAACGCCCUCUCCUCUCCUUCCUUCAUAUC